CUACGGGGGGCACCAGUGGGGAAUAUUGCACAAUGGAGGAAACUCUGAUGCAGCAACGCCGCGUGGAGGAUGACACUUUUCGGAGCGUAAACUCCUUUUAUAUAGGAAGAAGAUGACAGUACUAUAUGAAUAAGCGCCGGCUAACUCCGUGCCAGCAGCCGCGGUAAUACGGAGGGCGCAAGCGUUACUCGGAAUCACUGGGCGUAAAGAGCGUGUAGGCGGAUUAAAAAGUCAGAAGUGAAAUCCUAUAGCUUAACUAUAGAACUGCUUCUGAAACUCUUAAUCUAGAAUAUGGGAGAGGUAGAUGGAAUUUCUGGUGUAGGGGUAAAAUCCGUAGAGAUCAGAAGGAAUACCGAUUGCGAAGGCGAUCUACUAGAACAUUAUUGACGCUGAGACGCGAAAGCGUGGGGAGCAAACAGAAUUAGAUACCCUCGUAGUC
rnacentral:rRNA from 1 species